AGUGAACGCUGGCGGUAGGCCUAACACAUGCAAGUCGAACGGCAGCACAGUAAGAGCUUGCUCUUACGGGUGGCGAGUGGCGGACGGGUGAGGAAUACAUCGGAAUCUACUUUUUCGUGGGGGAUCACGUAGGGAAACUUACGCUAAUACCGCAUACGACCUUCGGGUGAAAGCAGGGGAUCUUCGGACCUUGCGCGAUUGAAUGAGCCGAUGUCGGAUUAGCUAGUUGGCGGGGUAAAGGCCCACCAAGGCGACGAUCCGUAGCUGGUCUGAGAGGAUGAUCAGCCACACUGGAACUGAGACACGGUCCAGACUCCUACGGGAGGCAGCAGUGGGGAAUAUUGGACAAUGGGCGCAAGCCUGAUCCAGCCAUACCGCGUGGGUGAAGAAGGCCUUCGGGUUGUAAAGCCCUUUUGUUGGGAAGGAAAAGCAGCAGGUUAAUACCCCGCUGUUCUGACGGUACCCAAAGAAUAAGCACCGGCUAACUUCGUG
rnacentral:rRNA from 1 species